rnacentral:rRNA from 1 species
GGGUGCAAUCAUACCAGCACUAUUGCACUGGAUCCCAUCAGAACUCCGUAGUUAAGCGCUUAAGUGAGAAUAGUUCUAAGAUGGGCUUGUCUUAUGAUUUUCACAGACACAGGCU